rnacentral:rRNA from 1 species
GAUGAACGCUGGCGGCGUGCCUAAUACAUGCAAGUCGAGCGAACGGACGAGAAGCUUGCUUCUCUGAUGUUAGCGGCGGACGGGUGAGUAACACGUGGAUAACCUACCUAUAAGACUGGGAUAACUUCGGGAAACCGUAGCUAAUACCGGAUAAUAUCUUGAACCGCAUGGUUCAAAAGUGAAAGACGGUCUUGCUGUCACUUAUAGAUGGAUCCGCGCUGCAUUAGCUAGUUGGUAAGGUAACGGCUUACCAAGGCAACGAUGCAUAGCCGACCUGAGAGGGUGAUAGGCCACACUGGAACUGGGACACGGUCCAGACUCCUACGGGAGGCAGCAGUAGGGAAUCUUCCGCAAUGGGCGAAAGCCUGACGGAGCAACGCCGCGUGAGUGAUGAAGGUCUUCGGAUCGUAAAACUCUGUUAUUAGGGAAGAACAUAUGUGUAAGUAACUGUGCACAUCUUGACGGUACCUAAUCAGAAAGCCACGGCUAACUACGUG